UACGAAGGGGACUAGCGUUGUUCGGAAUCACUGGGCGUAAAGCGCACGUAGGCGGAUUUGUAAGUCAGGGGUGAAAUCCCGGAGCUCAACCUCGGAACUGCCUUUGAUACUGCGAGUCUUGAGUCCGAUAGAGGUGGGUGGAAUUCCUAGUGUAGAGGUGAAAUUCGUAGAUAUCGGGAGGAACACCAGUGGCGAAGGCGGCGAUCUGGGAAGAUACUGACGCUGAGGUGCGAAAGCGUGGGGAGCAAACAGG
rnacentral:rRNA from 1 species